rnacentral:rRNA from 1 species
CCGRCGUAUCGUGCAUGUAUUCAAUGCAUCGCAUGUAAGCUGCGAGUUGUGCAUUCCGCAAGGUUGCCKGCUUGUAGUGUUGCCGUGUGAGUGUAGUGCAUUURCAUGCAGAGUGCGCCGAGUGGGUUGGCCUUGCUGCUGGAAGCUUGUAUAGAGGAUCAUACUUCGGUACGGAACCCUGUGCUUGUGGAUGGCAGAUGAGGCUACUUUCACAUGUUGGAUGCUGGGAAUUCGUGGCUUUGGUUGGUGGCUUAGUUGGCUUGUAGGUGACGCAUGCGCUGCUUACUUGUCGGUUGGGUCGUCGGCCUUGACUACCCCGCAUUCAACUCGGUGUUCMUCGGUCACCCAUUUGACCCGUCUUGAAACACGGACCAAGGAGUUUAAGGUGUACGCAAGUCAUUGGGAUCCUGAACCCAAAGGCGYAAUKAAAGUGAGACACUUGGUGUCUGUGAUGUGAACGGUUUUCGUUUCGCGGUGGCUGUGC